rnacentral:rRNA from 1 species
AACGAACGCUGGCGGCAUGCCUAACACAUGCAAGUCGAACGAGACCUUCGGGUCUAGUGGCGCACGGGUGCGUAACGCGUGGGAACUUGCCCUUAGGUUCGGAAUAACUCCCCGAAAGGGGUGCUAAUACCGGAUAAUGUCUUCGGACCAAAGAUUUAUCGCCUUUGGAUGGGCCCGCGUUGGAUUAGCUAGUUGGUAGGGUAAAAGCCUACCAAGGCGACGAUCCAUAGCUGGUCUGAGAGGAUGAUCAGCCACACUGGGACUGAGACACGGCCCAGACUCCUACGGGAAGCAGCAGUGGGGAAUAUUGGACAAUGGGCGAAAGCCUGAUCCAGCAAUGCCGCGUGAGUGAUGAAGGCCUUAGGGUUGUAAAGCUCUUUUACCCGGGAUGAUAAUGACAGUACCGGGAGAAUAAGCGCCGGCUAACUCCGUG